rnacentral:rRNA from 1 species
ACACGUAGGCGGCAAGCGUUAUCCGGAUUUACUGGGCGUAAAGCGCGUGCAGGCGGUCUGGUAAGUUGGAUGUGAAAGCUCCCGGCUCAACUGGGAGAGGUCGUUCAAAACUGCCGGACUAGAGGACGGUAGAGGGAGGUGGAAUUCCCGGUGUAGUGGUGAAAUGCGUAGAUAUCGGGAGGAACACCAGUGGCGAAGGCGGCCUCCUGGGCCGUUCCUGACGCUAAGACGCGAAAGCGUGGGGAGCGAACGGGAUUAGAAACCCUAGUAGUCC